AUUGAACGCUGGCGGCAUGCCUUACACAUGCAAGUCGAACGGCAGCACGGGAGCAAUCCUGGUGGCGAGUGGCGAACGGGUGAGUAAUACAUCGGAACGUGCCCAGUAGUGGGGGAUAGCCCGGCGAAAGCCGGAUUAAUACCGCAUACGACCUGAGGGUGAAAGCGGGGGAUCGUAAGACCUCGCGCUAUUGGAGCGGCCGAUGUCGGAUUAGCUAGUUGGUGGGGUAAAGGCCUACCAAGGCUACGAUCCGUAGCUGGUCUGAGAGGACGACCAGCCACACUGGGACUGAGACACGGCCCAGACUCCUACGGGAGGCAGCAGUGGGGAAUUUUGGACAAUGGGGGCAACCCUGAUCCAGCCAUGCCGCGUGCGGGAAGAAGGCCUUCGGGUUGUAAACCGCUUUUGUCAGGGAAGAAAUGCUCUGGGCUAAUACCCCGGAGUGAUGACGGUACCUGAAGAAUAAGCACCGGCUAACUACGUGCCAGCAGCCGCCGUAAUAC
rnacentral:rRNA from 1 species